rnacentral:rRNA from 1 species
AGAGUUUGAUCCUGGCUCAGGAUGAACGCUAGCGACAGGCUUAACACAUGCAAGUCGAGGGGCAGCGGGGGUGAGAGCUUGCUCUCACCUGCCGGCGACCGGCGCACGGGUGAGUAACACGUAUGCAACCUGCCUGUCACUGGGGGAUAAGCGGAAGAAAUUCCGUCUAAUACCGCAUAAUAUCCCUGAGGGACAUCCCUUGGGGAUUAAAGGAGCGAUCCGGUGACAGAUGGGCAUGCGGCGCAUUAGCUUGUUGGCGGGGUAACGGCCCACCAAGGCGACGAUGCGUAGGGGUUCUGAGAGGAAGGUCCCCCACACUGGUACUGAGACACGGACCAGACUCCUACGGGAGGCAGCAGUGAGGAAUAUUGGUCAAUGGGCGAGAGCCUGAACCAGCCAAGUCGCGUGAGGGAAGACGGUCCUAUGGAUUGUAAACCUCUUUUGUCGGGGAGCAAAGGGGCCACGUGUGGUCAAAAGUGAGAGUACCCGAAGAAAAAGCAUCGGCUAACUCCGUGCCAGCAGCCGCGGUAAUACGGAGGAUGCGAGCGUUAUCCGGAUUCAUUGGGUUUAAAGGGUGCGCAGGCGGAGCGUCAAGCCGGCGGUAAAAUCGUGGGGCCCAACCCCAUCCCGCCGUCGGAACUGGCGCCCUUGAGUGGCCGAGAGGUAGGCGGAAUGCGUGGUGUAGCGGUGAAAUGCAUAGAUAUCACGCAGAACGCCGAUUGCGAAGGCAGCCUACUGGCGGCCCACCGACGCUCAGGCACGAAAGCGUGGGGAUCAAACAGGAUUAGAUACCCUGGUAGUCCACGCAGUAAACGAUGGAUGCUAGCCGUCCGGGGGAAUUGGCCCCUGGGGGGCGCAGCGAAAGCGUUAAGCAUCCCACCUGGGGAGUACGCCGGCAACGGUGAAACUCAAAGGAAUUGACGGGGACCCGCACAAGCGGUGGAGCAUGUGGUUUAAUUCGAAGCAACGCGAAGAACCUUACCAGCCCUUGACAUCCUGCUGGCAGCCCGGUAAUGCGGGCUUUCCUACGGGACAGCAGAGACAGGUGGUGCAUGGUUGUCGUCAGUUUGUGUCGUGAGAUGUUGGGUUAAGUCCCGCAACGAGCGCAACCCCUGCUUACAGUAGCCAGCAGCAAGGCUGGGCACUCUGUAAGGGCUGCCGGGGAUAACCCGGAGGAAGGCGGGGACGACGUCAAAUCAUCAUGCCCCUUAUGGGCUGGGCUACACACGUGCUACAAUGGCGCCAACAGAGUGAGGCGAACCUGCGAGGGGGAGCAAAGCACAAAAAAGGCGUCCCAGUUCGGAUUACAGCCUGCAACCCGGCUGUAUGAAGCUGGAAUCGCUAGUAAUCGCAGAUCAGAAUGCUGCGGUGAAUACGUUCCCGGGUCUUGCACUCACCGCCCGUCAAG